rnacentral:rRNA from 1 species
UUUAAAAUUGUUGCAGUUAAAACGCUCGUAGUUGAAUUUCAAAGAGUCAUGGCGUUUCUGAGGUGCUCCUUGGUCGAUCUGCCCAGCACUGACUCUAUGAUUUUAUUGUAGAGCAGUGUGACUGGGUGUUCGAUUUCAAGAAAGUGUCUCCUUUACAAAGUGAUUUUUCUAAGGGUCUCUUGAGUACCAGUCCUUGGGAGGUUCUUUUUACCUUGAGUAAAUUAGAGUGUUUAAAGCAAACAGAUAGAACAGUUUACUGUGUUUAAAUACUACAGCAUGGAAUAAUAAUAUCGAAUGAGCCGACGUACUUUUCGUUUCUUUGUUAUUUUGGCUUAGUUACGAUUAACAGGAAUAGUUGGGGGCAUUUGUAUUCAGAUGUCAGAGGUGAAAUUCUAAGAUUAUCUGGAGACGAACAAUUGCGAAAGCAUCUGUCUAACAUAUUUUCAUUAAUCAAGAACGAAAGUUAAGGGAGUGAAGACGAUCAGAUACCGUCGUAAUCUUAACCAUAAACUAUGCCAACUAUGUUUUGGAUGUAUGAGAAAAAGAUGGAAUACUUUGUUUUACGACAUUGUCAUUCCAUUUAUGCUUCAUUCAGUACCUUAGAGAAAUCAAAGUCUUUGGGUUCUGGGGCGAGUAUUCGCGCAAGCGAGAAAGUUAAAAGAAUUGACGGAAGGGCACCACCAGACGUGGAGCUUGCGGCUUAAUUUGACUCAACACGGGAAAACUCACUAGUAUAAGACAAGAGUAGGAUUGACAGAUUAAUAGCUCUUUCUUGAUUUCUUGGAUGGUGAUGCAUGGCCGUUUUUAGUUCGUGAAUAUGAUUUGUCUGGUUAAUUCCGAUAACGAACGAGACCUUAACCUGCUAGUUAGCGGCCGGUAUGUCGCGAAUUUAUCAAAAUCUUAUCUCGUAGGCUGGAUUAUUUUUAGAAGAUAUGACGGAUAACCGAGUCGAGUGUCGUCCCCAUCACUGUUCUAUUAAUUCGCAGUCUGUCCUGGUUUUUUUUUAGGUAAGUAUGUAUCCGCUUGAAUGUAAGCUUCUUAGAGGUACGAUGUGUGCUUAACACAAGGAAGUUUAAGG